rnacentral:rRNA from 1 species
CUACGGGAUGCAGCAGUGGGGAAUAUUGGACAAUGGGCGCAAGCCUGAUCCAGCAAUACCGCGUGUGUGAAGAAGGCCUGCGGGUUGUAAAGCACUUUCAAUUGUGAAGAAAAGCGAGAGGUUAAUAGCCUUUUGUCUUGACGUUAACUUUAGAAGAAGCACCGGCUAACUCUGUGCCAGCAGCCGCGGUAAUACAGGGGUGCGAGCGUUAAUCGGAAUUACUGGGCGUAAAGCGUGCGUAGGCGGUUUAGUAAGUCAGAUGUGAAAGCCCUGGGCUCAACCUGGGAACUGCAUUUGAAACUGCUGAACUAGAGUGUGGUAGAGGGAAGUGGAAUUCCGGGUGUAGCGGUGAAAUGCGUAGAUAUCCGGAGGAACACCAGUGGCGAAGGCGACUUCCUGGACCAACACUGACGCUGAGGUACGAAAGCGUGGGUAGCAAACAGGAUUAGAUACCCCAGUAGUC